AUUGAACGCUGGCGGCAGGCCUAACACAUGCAAGUCGAACGAGUGGCGGACGGGUGAGUAAUGUCUGGGAAACUGCCCGAUGGAGGGGGAUAACUACUGGAAACGGUAGCUAAUACCGCAUACCAUCGGAUGUGCCCAGAUGGGAUUAGCUUGUAGGUGAGGUAACGGCUCACCUAGGCGACGAUCCCUAGCUGGUCUGAGAGGAUGAACAGGCAAACUUGAACUUGGACCAGGGCCAGACGCCUAACGGAGGCCACAGGUGGGAAAUUUGGACAAUGGGCCGCAGGCUGAUGCAGCCAAUCCGGGUGUUAUGAGGAGGGCGUCCGGUUUGUAAGUUCUUUCCGCGGGGAGGCGUUACCCGCAGAAGAAGCACCGGCUAACUCCGUGCCAGCAGCCGCGGUAAUUC
rnacentral:rRNA from 1 species